rnacentral:rRNA from 1 species
AGGAGUGGAGCCUGCGGCUUAAUUUGACUCAACACGGGGAACCUCACCAGGCCCGGACACCGGAAGGAUUGACAGAUUGAUAGCUCUUUCUUGAUUCGGUGGGUGGUGGUGCAUGGUCGUUCUUAGUUGGUAGAGCGAUUUGUCUGGUUAAUUCCGAUAACGAACGAGACUCUAGCCUGCUAAAUAGGCGUACUCUACCGGUAUCUCGAAGGCUCACAUCUUCCGUACUAACCGUACGUUUGUUCGUCGGUGUUUCAAUCGGUGUUUUACAUUGUGCGAGCAUUUUUCGGCUUCGUGCGGGCGGAAUGUUGUGGUUUUUACUACCGGCGUACAUUUUAAUCUUCUUAGAGGGACAAACGGCUUAUAGCCGUAUGAGAUUGAGCAAUAACAGGUCUGUGAUGCCCUUAGAUGUUCUGGGCCG